rnacentral:lncRNA from 1 species
GUUAACUUAAAUGUUUUCAUCAAGGCAAUGCAGGGAGCAGUAAGACAGGAAGUCUUAUCAGUAUUUCAAGGUAGGUGGCGGAGAAAUUAAAAACAUAAAAUAUAUAAGAUAUCACCUAUAACACAUAUACAAGAGGCCCAAGUUUGUGAUGGUCAGAAAAGAUUAGUUUUUUUUUUUUUUUUUUUUUUUUCCUUUCUAAAGAAAUUCUUGGGAAAUCAGUGGAGUACUGUGAGUUUAUUCUCUGUCCAAACUCUUUGCCCCUCAUUGCAACACGUAAGCUUCAACAGAGCCACUCGGAGAACUUGAGAUGGAUUCCAGGCAUUAGCGGGUACGCCGUGAGCAUAAGCCUAACAAAUGCUAAGGACUCUAAAGGCAAGAAUUUGUAGCUUUCAGCUGGAAACAGUAGGACAGGAAGAGAAAUCGCAGGCCGUAUUGAAGUUAACUACAAUUCUACUACAAUUCCAUGAGUCAUGCUCAUGAUCUAGAAGUGGACCAUAAAGACACAGCUGCCUGACACUCCCUAAGAAGACCACCUGUAAGGAUGAUAGGACCGACAGGAGAGCUGAUAUAAAUGGACCAUCAGAAAUCAGACGCUGAUGGGAGUUCUGAUGGCCAGAGAAGGAUACGUUGCCCAGAUAAUGGAAAAUACAGCUGAAUAUUCCAGAGAAAAUGUUGAAAAACUCUGGAAGGCACCCAUGAUAGAAGGAGAUGGGUUUGAAUACCUGCCAAGACUGCAGAACAUGAAGCCAGAUCCACAUUGCCAGGUUUUUGCCGCUGGAGGAAGACACAGUCCUUUAAUGAAUCUUGGAUUUUCUUCAUCCAGUUUCCCAUCAGCGACAUCGACUCCAGAAUCCCAGCUUGUAAUACGUCUGUCUACUCAGUGGCAGGGGAUGCUCUCCACAUCCACGGCUCAAUUUUGCAAGGCAUCCUGUGACCUACCAUCAACUUUUGCUUCUCAUAGUCAACUUAGUAAAUCUUACGCUUCCAGAAUCAUCUGGGGGAGAGAGCCAGAGAAAGAUAGCAGCUCUGUGCAGGGGAUAUUUACAUUUAACAGCCCUGGCCUUGGUGGGAAUUGCCAUCACUUUCAGCUGAGCUGUAACUAGCAAGCCACCUACAUGGUGAGCUCAGAGUGCUUUGGAACUUUCCAACCCACGGCUUCCCACUUCAGCAGUGGUGGGAGGCUGAGCUAUUUAGGUGGAUGAAAGGGAAGUGAUAAAGACAGAAAGGAGAACUUAGAAUGAAUUGUGUAAAUAACCCUGUAUUCCCCUCCCAUCUCCCCUUCUUUUUCUUCCUUCUGUCCAAAUUUCCUUCCUUCCCUCCUAUGUUUUAAAUCAAAAGACUGUAUUUUCCAAGUUCAGUAAAAUAAAACAGGUAUAAACAUAU